rnacentral:rRNA from 1 species
AGCGUACACGGUGGAUGCCCUGGCAGUCAGAGGCGAUGAAGGACGUGCUAAUCUGCGAAAAGCGUCGGUAAGGUGAUAUGAACCGUUAUAACCGGCGAUGUCCGAAUGGGGAAACCCAGUGCAAUUCGUUGCACUAUCGUUAACUGAAUACAUAGGUUAACGAGGCGAACCGGGGGAACUGAAACAUCUAAGUACCCCGAGGAAAAGAAAUCAACCGAGAUUCCCCCAGUAGCGGCGAGCGAACGGGGAGCAGCCCAGAGUCUGAAUCAGCUUGUGUGUUAGUGGAACGGUCUGGAAAGUCCGACGGUACAGGGUGAUAGUCCCGUACACCAAAAUGCACAGGUUGUGAACUCGAAGAGUAGGGCGGGACACGUGGUAUCCUGUCUGAAUAUGGGGGGACCAUCCUCCAAGGCUAAAUACUCCUGACUGACCGAUAGUGAACCAGUACCGUGAGGGAAAGGCGAAAAGAACCCCGGCGAGGGGAGUGAAAAAGAACCUGAAACCGUGUACGUACAAGCAGUGGGAGCACCUUCGGGUGUGACUGCGUACCUUUUGUAUAAUGGGUCAGCGACUUAUAUUCUGUAGCAAGGUUAACCGUAUAGGGGAGCCGCAGGGAAACCGAGUCUUAACUGGGCGUUAAGUUGCAGGGUAUAGACCCGAAACCCGGUGAUCUAGCCAUGGGCAGGUUGAAGGUUGGGUAACACUAACUGGAGGACCGAACCGACUAAUGUUGAAAAAUUAGCGGAUGACUUGUGGCUGGGGGUGAAAGGCCAAUCAAACCGGGAGAUAGCUGGUUCUCCCCGAAAGCUAUUUAGGUAGCGCCUCGUGAAUUCAUCUUCGGGGGUAGAGCACUGUUUCGGCUAGGGGGUCAUCCCGACUUACCAACCCGAUGCAAACUACGAAUACCGAAGAAUGUUAUCACGGGAGACACACGGCGGGUGCUAACGUCCGUCGUGAAGAGGGAAACAACCCAGACCGCCAGCUAAGGUCCCAAAGUCAUGGUUAAGUGGGAAACGAUGUGGGAAGGCACAGACAGCCAGGAUGUUGGCUUAGAAGCAGCCAUCAUUUAAAGAAAGCGUAAUAGCUCACUGGUCGAGUCGGCCUGCGCGGAAGAUGUAACGGGGCUAAACCAUGCACCGAAGCUGCGGCAGCGACACUAUGUGUUGUUGGGUAGGGGAGCGUUCUGUAAGCCUGCGAAGGUGACCUGUGAGGGUUGCUGGAGGUAUCAGAAGUGCGAAUGCUGACAUAAGUAACGAUAAAGCGGGUGAAAAGCCCGCUCGCCGGAAGACCAAGGGUUCCUGUCCAACGUUAAUCGGGGCAGGGUGAGUCGACCCCUAAGGCGAGGCCGAAAGGCGUAGUCGAUGGGAAACAGGUUAAUAUUCCUGUACUUGGUGUUACUGCGAAGGGGGGACGGAGAAGGCUAUGUUAGCCGGGCGACGGUUGUCCCGGUUUAAGCAUGUAGGCUGAUUAUCCAGGCAAAUCCGGAUAAUCAAGGCUGAGGUGUGAUGACGAGGCACUACGGUGCUGAAGUAACAAAUGCCCUGCUUCCAGGAAAAGCCUCUAAGCAUCAGGUAACAUCAAAUCGUACCCCAAACCGACACAGGUGGUCAGGUAGAGAAUACCAAGGCGCUUGAGAGAACUCGGGUGAAGGAACUAGGCAAAAUGGUGCCGUAACUUCGGGAGAAGGCACGCUGGUGUGUAGGUGAAGCCCCUGCGGGUGGAGCUGAGACCAGUCGAAGAUACCAGCUGGCUGCAACUGUUUAUUAAAAACACAGCACUGUGCAAACACGAAAGUGGACGUAUACGGUGUGACGCCUGCCCGGUGCCGGAAGGUUAAUUGAUGGGGUUAUCCGUAAGGAGAAGCUCUUGAUCGAAGCCCCGGUAAACGGCGGCCGUAACUAUAACGGUCCUAAGGUAGCGAAAUUCCUUGUCGGGUAAGUUCCGACCUGCACGAAUGGCGUAAUGAUGGCCAGGCUGUCUCCACCCGAGACUCAGUGAAAUUGAACUCGCUGUGAAGAUGCAGUGUACCCGCGGCAAGACGGAAAGACCCCGUGAACCUUUACUAUAGCUUGACACUGAACAUUGAGCCUUGAUGUGUAGGAUAGGUGGGAGGCUUUGAAGCGUGGACGCCAGUCUGCGUGGAGCCAACCUUGAAAUACCACCCUUUAAUGUUUGAUGUUCUAACGUUGGCCCCUGACCGGGGUUGCGGACAGUGUCUGGUGGGUAGUUUGACUGGGGCGGUCUCCUCCCAAAGCGUAACGGAGGAGCACGAAGGUUAGCUAAUCCUGGUCGGACAUCAGGAGGUUAGUGCAAUGGCAUAAGCUAGCUUGACUGCGAGCGUGACGGCGCGAGCAGGUGCGAAAGCAGGUCAUAGUGAUCCGGUGGUUCUGAAUGGAAGGGCCAUCGCUCAACGGAUAAAAGGUACUCCGGGGAUAACAGGCUGAUACCGCCCAAGAGUUCAUAUCGACGGCGGUGUUUGGCACCUCGAUGUCGGCUCAUCACAUCCUGGGGCUGAAGUAGGUCCCAAGGGUAUGGCUGUUCGCCAUUUAAAGUGGUACGCGAGCUGGGUUUAGAACGUCGUGAGACAGUUCGGUCCCUAUCUGCCGUGGGCGCUGGAGAAUUGAGGGGGGCUGCUCCUAGUACGAGAGGACCGGAGUGGACGCAUCACUGGUGUUCGGGUUGUCAUGCCAAUGGCACUGCCCGGUAGCUAAAUGCGGAAGAGAUAAGUGCUGAAAGCAUCUAAGCACGAAACUUGCCCCGAGAUGAGUUCU